UAGCUAUAAUAAAGCCAAAGGCAAAAGAAACCUUUAUUUUUGUAUUGAAACGACGUCGGAGAUGGUAGUAACCAAAAGGAAAGGAGAUUGAUUCGCCCUCAUCUCUUGUCCGGAGAGAAUCGGAGGUUUCAUCAAAUGCCUGUGGCAAUUGCAAUUGCGGCAGCGCCAAGUUUUCGUCACUUCAAGAAACUUAAACUCAAUACUCGAUUAUCUUCCUCACUGGGCGCCAUUCAUCGAGAGAGGAAAGCUAUGGUCGCAACAGCCAGUAGCAGUAGCCGAAAUGCUGGGGCAUACACCACCAUUAAAGAGAUUGUAAGAUUCGAAAAAGAAAUCAAGAAGAGCAAGUUCAUCGCUAUCGCUGGCCCUGUCUCCAACGAGCAAUCUGCCUUCUCUUUUCUCUCCCAGGUGCGGGAUCCGCGAGCUACCCACAAUUGCUGGGCGUAUCAGGUUGGAGAUCAAUAUAGGUCUAAUGAUGAUGGCGAGCCAUCUGGUACGGCUGGAAAACCAAUUCAUUCUGCUAUUGUUUCUUCAGGUAUUGACAGAGUCAUGGUGGUUGUGAUCAGGUAUUUUGGAGGUAUCAAACUUGGCACUGGGGGACUAGUCAGGGCUUAUGGAGGAGUAGCUUCCGAAUGCCUGAAGAGUGCCCAAACAUGUGUUGUGAAAUCUAAGGUUCCAAUGGGUGUGGAGGUACCAUUUGAUCUUUUAGGGGUCUUGUACCACCAGUUGCAAUCUUUUCAAGUUGAGGACAUUAAGCAGGAUUAUGACAGUGGUAAAGAUGGUAUUACUAUGGUGACAUUCAAGGUUGAUUUCGAUUGUGUUGAGAAGUUGGAGGAUGCUAUCAAAUCUAACUGUAGCCGUGAAUUAGUCUUUUACAAGCGAUAAGUUAUACAGCUACUCAUUGUACAUGAAUGCAGAGAAGGGAGGUACACAUCAAUAUAAAGAUGAAAUCAUGUGCGCAUACAAUUAAUGGUGGGUGGUAUGAGUAACGUAGAAGCAUCGUAUUUUUCAGAAGCACGCAGCAGUAAGUUCUUAUUUAAUGAUGAUAACCAUCAAGGAACCUUCGUCAAUUUGGACUUGUUUCAUUUGAUGGGAAGGAAUAAUUGAAAUGCUGCUAUGGUGGAAAUCGUGUUGGGCUGCCUAAAGGUAUAUUAAUUUUGCUUCUUUCAACCUUCAUCUGGUUAGAGUCCCAAAUAUAGCAUUACCGAUAGGCUAGUGGAAGCCAUUCUAUGUUUGAAUGGGAGUUUUGAGUUGAAGAAGAAGAGAUUUUGAUAGAAGCCAUUCUGUGUUUGAAUAGGACAUGGAUCUUGAGUGUAUUUACCAAUCAUUGUACUUGUGCGAGCAUUGAAGAACCAAUAGAAGAUGUUUGAGUAAGUUUAGUUAAGUACAAUAUGAACCAAAUGAUUGAAGACCACGCUUGAUUGGAAUGAAUAAAAUCCAACUCACUAGAAGUAAUAGUGUAAAGAAAACGAUUUUGGAACUACAGUUUGGUUUUUUGAUUAUGAAUUGCUCUCAUCCAUAUGGAAAAGGACAUUGUGGCUGAUAUGUCCAAGUUAUUGAAAGGUUAGGCGAUUGUAAACUCCUAGUUUAUCA